AUCUUUGCGAUUGGGGCAAUGACGCAGCUAGAGUGAGGUUGUAACUGAGGCGCGUCUAUUGCUGGUUGAAAACUAAAUCAAUGAUUCUGAGAAUAUUUUUGAAUAUUGAGAUGGACAA
rnacentral:snRNA from 1 species